GCUGCUGCACGCACUGCUCCUCGAACUCAUGCAGCCUCUUUAGCUCCUCGUCGCUAAGGAAGAGCUCUGUGUGAAGGGAGAAGUGUCGGCCACGUGAAAAACAAGAAGAAUCACGGCCACUGAGACGCAUAAUGAUGAUGUAGAUGUGGCUUAAAAUGAUCAUCGGUGGGGGCAGGACUGGCCUGUCAUGAAAUGUCAUAAUCAGCUGAUAUCGCUGGAACUUCCACACCUGGUUGGAUAUUGAUUUUACUUCAAAGAAGGCUCACGAUGUAGGAGAUGACGAUCCACUCCUGGAGGGAUGGCCAGCCAUCCAUCCGCACCAGGAUGACGUAGUUAAACAGCAGCAGGUUGACACAUCUAAAAGAAUCUUUGUUUCCAACUGGACUGACUCAUUGAGAGGAAACCUUCACUGCACCUCACCAGUGCAGACAGAAGACCUGGAGGCAGGACGGGAGGCAUUUUAUACUUCAGCACGAUAUGGGCCCUGACUUUUCAUUUUCUACAUGGAGACAUAUUUGUUGGUGCUGUCAUCCUCAUGGGGAAACUAUGAAGUUGCAAACAUUAU
rnacentral:antisense_RNA from 1 species